GUGCUCACUUUGGCAGCACAUAUACUAAAAUUGGAACAAUACAGAGAUUAGCAUGGCCCCUGCGCAGGAUGACAUGCAAAUUUAAAAAAAAAGAGAGAGAGGU